GGGCGGUUGGCACAGUGGUAGCGCGCUUCGUUCACACCGAAGAGGUCACAGGUUCAAAUCCUGUACCGCCCACCA
rnacentral:tRNA from 1 species